rnacentral:pre_miRNA from 1 species
GCUAGCCGUUCUCCUGCGAACGCAGGAGCCCAGGGCCGCAGGCCUUGCCCUCGUGACCCUGGGCUCCCGCGUUCGCGGGAGAACACUGUUCAGA